GUUCCACAUGGCCGAGAUUGUUUGAAACUCUGUAGCACAGAGACUUCACUUUGCUCGAUUCACUGUCAACACUGUAGCAACAUGGAGGAUGAGGAACGUGUAAAAUACGCUGGGAGGAAAGACAUUGGGAAAAGCAGCCCCCACACCCACAGACCUCUAUGUAAACAGCAUCUGAAAUGGCAUUGUGUUAAGGCAUUGAAUGUUGGACACACUUAAAUGCCUGCCAGUUAUUUAUUUUGUGUAAUGGUAACUAUUCUUUAUUGCCUUUCUAACUCCAUCUCUUUAAAGGCUUAUGUGUUUUCUUGACAUUUAUAAAUUCCCAGAAAGACCCAUGAGCAAGGAAUGUUUGUUUGAAACAUCACCCCAGUAAUAAAAUCUAAAUUUUG